rnacentral:misc_RNA from 1 species
CAGAGACAUGUGGCUCCUUUUCUCUGCCUGUACAAGAACCCCCGGAAACUGAUGCUUGAACAUUACUGCUUCUUUUGAAUUUCCCUCUCCAUAGGCAGACAAUUUGAGAGACAUUAAGAAAGACAUUUUCUUAGGGCUUAAGCAGAAGUUAUGGCACAUCCUCAACCAAGAAUCGGGGCAAUGUAUCCACUUGAUGGCAUGGGCAGGCCAGGAGGGGAUCUAAGGUGGUCACCACGCGCUACGCAACCAUUAGGGAAGGAACAUACCAUGGAGGAUGAUCAUACACCACAUAGAAAGUCUGUUCUUGCCAAAGUGAAGGAGAAGGCCCGGAAAUGGCGACAAACUCUCAGUAAGAAGAAGCACAAUGAGGAUGCUAAUGCUACACCAUCGUGGGGUGUUAGCUUGGAGGAUGAAGAUGAUGAAGAUGAAG